rnacentral:rRNA from 1 species
GACGAACGCUGGCGGCGUGCUUAACACAUGCAAGUCGAACGGAAAGGCCCUGCUUUUGUGGGGUGCUCGAGUGGCGAACGGGUGAGUAACACGUGAGUAACCUGCCCUUGACUUUGGGAUAACUUCAGGAAACUGGGGCUAAUACCGGAUAGGAGCUCCUGCUGCAUGGUGGGGGUUGGAAAGUUUCGGCGGUUGGGGAUGGACUCGCGGCUUAUCAGCUUGUUGGUGGGGUAGUGGCUUACCAAGGCUUUGACGGGUAGCCGGCCUGAGAGGGUGACCGGCCACAUUGGGACUGAGAUACAGCCCAGACUCCUACGGGAGGCAGCAGUGGGGAAUAUUGCACAAUGGGCGGAGGCCUGAUGCAGCAACGCCGCGUGCGGGAUGACGGCCUUCGGGUUGUAAACCGCUUUCGCCUGUGACGAAGCGUGAGUGACGGUAAUGGGUAAAGAAGCACCGGCUAACUACGUG